UGGGGAAUUUUGGACAAUGGGCGAAAGCCUGAUCCAGCAGUGCCGCGUGUGUGAAGAAGGCCUUCGGGGUUGUAAAGCACUUUUGUCCGGAAAGGAAAAUCCUUGGGCUCUAAUACAGUCGGGGGAUGACGGUACCGGAAAGAAUAAGCACCGGCUAACUACGUGCCAGCAGCCGCGGUAAUACGUNGGGUCAAGCGUUAAUCGGAAUUACUGGGCGUAAAGCGUGCGCAGGCGGUUUGCUAAGACCGAUGUGAAAUCCCCGGGCUCAACCUGGGAACUGCAUUGGUGACUGGCAGGCUAGAGUAUGGCAGAGGGGGGUAGAAUUCCACGUGUAGCAGUGAAAUGCGUAGAGAUGGUGGAGGAAUACCGAUGGCGAAGGCAGCCCCCUGGGCCAAUACUGACGCUCA
rnacentral:rRNA from 1 species